AUUGAACGCUGGCGGCAGGCCUAACACAUGCAAGUCGAGCGGAGCGGCGGACGGGUGAGUAAUGCCUAGGAAUCUGCCUGGUAGUGGGGGAUAACGUCCGGAAACGGGCGCUAAUACCGCAUCCUAGCAGAUGAGCCUAGGGCGGAUUAGCUAGUUGGUGGGGUAAAGGCCUACGAAGGCGACGACCAGUAACUGGUCUGAGAGGAUGAGCAGUCAUAUUGGAACUGAGACACGGUGCAGACUCCUAGGGUAGGCAGCAGUGGGGAAUAGUGGACAAUGGGCGAAAGCCUGAUGCAGCCAUGCCGCGUGUGUGAAGAAGGUCUUCGGAUUGUAAAGUACUUUAAGUUGGGAGGCGUUACCAACAGAAUAAGCACCUGCUAACUUCGGGCCAGCAGCCGCGGUAAUAC
rnacentral:rRNA from 1 species